rnacentral:rRNA from 1 species
AUGCCUUCCUCUCCCUCCGCCAACCCGGGCCACGGCGUCCGCACCGCCGCCGCGACGUCCAGGCCCACGGGCGCCGAGGGCUUCGCCUCGAUCCUGGCCACUCAGGGCGAGCUCGACGCGCUCUGCCGGGAGCACGGCGUCCCCGAGGGCUUCACCGCGCUCCCCGCCGGCGACCUGCGCGCGAACUCGACGCCGCCGCGGGGGGCCAUCUGCGUGUACGCGCGCGCGCUGGAGGCCGGGAUGCGCGUCCCGCUUCACCGCUUCUUCCUCGAGGCGCUCGCCCACUUCGGCCUCGCGCCGGCCCAGCUCACGCCCAACGGGUGGCGCAACAUGGCGGGCUUCGUCGCGCUCUGCCGCUCCGCCGGCGUGCCGCAGUCCCUCGCGGUGUUCCGGCAUUUCUUCCUGCUGUCCGUCGUCUCCCACAAGCACGGAAAAGGCUGGUACUUCUUCCAAUCCAGGCAGGGCUCCGGCCUGCGCUUCACGGGGAUGCCGAACCCGAACUCCAUUGCUAUGAAGGACUGGAAACGCGAGUUCUUCUUCCUCUCUUCGCCGGAGCCGUGGCCUUGCGCCGUGGAGUGGGGCGAGCCGUCCAAGAGCGCACUCAUGAAGCCGGUGCUCACCCCUCAGGAAAGCAAAUCGGCGGCCAAGCUGCUGCGCGUUCACGGGGGCGCCCCCGUUGAUCUCAGGACGUAUCUCAGCAGCAGCAACCUUGCCGCCGCCAUGGUAGCCACCACUGCAUCACCGCCGCCAUCUACUAGUACUACUCCCAGUUCCAAAGCUAUGGAUCCCGCUGUCAAGGACAUGAUGAAGGUUAUGCUCGCGGAGAAGGCGGCCGCGCAAGCGUCGGCGUCGGCCGUGAAAGCCGAGCCGUGCAGCAACCCAGCAGGGUCGCCAUCUUUGUGCGGGGAGAAAAGGGUUCUGGAGGAAGCCAACGACGAGGAGGGUCUAUCUCUUCCUGUCCACAACAUGAUGAAGUGUAUGCUGGCGGACAAGGCGGCCGCGCAAGCGCCGGCGAAGAAGAGGAUUCGGGAGGAAGCCAGCGGCGGGGAGGAGGUUCCGCGUCUUUCGGCGCCGAACACGCCGCUGUCCCGCGUGUGCUCGCCACCGCCGGGCUUCUCCGGGAAGCGACAGCACAUUCCCAGCAGGCACGACGGAGACACCACGGACUGGGAGGCUGCGCGUGAGCUGCUCCAGGGCGCCGUCUCGCCGCCGCUGGAGCGCGCGUUCGCGGCGAGCGCGCCUUCCGAGGUCGUCAAGUCGAGCUACGCUGCGAUUCUGCAGGCCGCGAACUACGCGUCGUUCUCCUUCCGCCACGCGCUCGACCUGGAGGAGAAGCUGGCGGCCAGGGAGCGCGAGGCCGCGGCGCUGCGGGAGCAGCUGGAGGAGGCAAAGGCCGAGCUCGCCGCGGCGAAGCGGGCGGCAGAAGCAGAGCGGGAGAAGGCAACGGACGAUCUCGCCGCGGAGCUCGAGAUGGCGAAAGGCGGGCUCGCCGUGGCGAAGCGGGCUCGGGAGGCGGAGGCCGAGCUCGCCGCGGCUCGGGCGGAGGCGGUGAAGAAGAGGGCCGAGCUCGCCGCGUUGAAGCGGGCCGCGGAGGCGGAGAAGGCGAAGGCCGAGGAGGAAGCGGCGGCGCUGCAACAGCUCCUGGCGUCCGAGGAGGACGUGCGGCGGCGAGCGGAGGACGCGCUGGAGGCGUACGAGCGCUGGCGAGGCCGUCGCGCUCCGGCCGGUCGUGUUGCUUGA